rnacentral:rRNA from 1 species
GACGAACGCUGGCGGCGUGCUUAACACAUGCAAGUCGAGCGGAAAGGCCUCUUUCGGGGGGUACUCGAGUGGCGAACGGGUGAGUAACACGUGAGUAACCUGCCCUUGACUUUGGGAUAACUUCAGGAAACUGGGGCUAAUACCGGAUAGGAGCUCCUGCUGCAUGGUGGGGGUUGGAAAGUUUCGGCGGUUGGGGAUGGACUCGCGGCUUAUCAGCUUGUUGGUGGGGUAGUGGCUUACCAAGGCUUUGACGGGUAGCCGGCCUGAGAGGGUGACCGGCCACAUUGGGACUGAGAUACGGCCCAGACUCCUACGGGAGGCAGCAGUGGGGAAUAUUGCACAAUGGGUGGAAGCCCGAUGCAGCAACGCCGUGUGCGGGAUGACGGCCUUCGGGUUGUAAACCGCUUUCGCUCAUGACGAAGCUUUGUGUGACGGUAGUGGGUAAAGAAGCACCGGCUAACUACGUG